AGGAGCCCAACAGGAGCGACAUGAGAUCACAUGUGGUCGGUACUAGUUUAAUAAGGUGAAACCUUGUAGUUGUACUGCGUCUUUCAUGUGUGUUCUCAGGUCGCCCCUGCAGGGCUUCC
rnacentral:pre_miRNA from 1 species